ACAGUAUCAGCAUUUUAAUCAACUACCAGGCAGAGCAAAAGGGAUAUUAAACAUGGAUAAACAACAAAUACCAACAAUCAAAAUAAAGACGAGGAAAAUAAAGAGAAUCAGUCGUCCGUAACAUGGAAAGCAUAGAAAAGCCACAAAGUCACAUAGCUACCAUAUACAAUACAAUUUGUGGCUAUAUGAAAAAUGAACUAGCAGUGCAAGUCUUAUUUACAAGAGUGUAUAGCGAGAAGAUCGGCAGAAAGCUACUCACGACAACAAUUCCUCUUUUCUCCUUGCUUCAAUUGAGAAAUUGAAUGUCACAUAAAAGAAUAGAGGAAAGGAAUAGAGUGGGAAUAAAAGAGAUACUUACAUGAAGCUUCGAAGCAUGGUCGGACUUUCUCAUGAGUAUCCCCAGCUCAAAAAUUGCUACCGGAUGGUACAUCUAGAAAAUAGUUGCAGUGGCAGAGAAACAAAACGGAAGAUGAAGGAUGAGCUCCAGCACUUAUUA
rnacentral:lncRNA from 1 species